rnacentral:ncRNA from 2 species
UAUUAUUUUUAAACCCUAGGUGUCAUUAGGUUGAAAAAUGCUAAUGAGUAAACGGGAAUCUGGUGCGUCUUAACUGACAACUCCAGAGCUGCCCCCGCAACGGUAAGUGAAUAGUUUAUUCAUGAGUCCGGAUACCGGCCUAAGGUAAUACCUGCAU